rnacentral:rRNA from 1 species
CGAAGAUACCAGGCCGCUGCGACUGUUUAUUAAAAACACAGCACUCUGCAAACACGAAAGUGGACGUAUAGGGUGUGACGCCUGCCCGGUGCCGGAAGGUUAAUUGAUGGGGUUAGCGCAAGCGAAGCUCUUGAUCGAAGCCCCGGUAAACGGCGGCCGUAACUAUAACGGUCCUAAGGUAGCGAAAUUCCUUGUCGGGUAAGUUCCGACCUGCACGAAUGGCGUAACGAUGGCGGCGCUGUCUCCACCCGAGACUCAGUGAAAUUGAAAUCGCUGUGAAGAUGCAGUGUAUCCGCGGCUAGACGGAAAGACCCCGUGAACCUUUACUAUAGCUUUGCACUGGACUUUGAAUUUGCUUGUGUAGGAUAGGUGGGAGGCUUUGAAGCGUGGACGCCAGUCUGCGUGGAGCCAACCUUGAAAUACCACCCUGGCAACUUUGAGGUUCUAACUCAGGUCCGUUAUCCGGAUCGAGGACAGUGUAUGGUGGGUAGUUUGACUGGGGCGGUCUCCUCCUAAAGAGUAACGGAGGAGUACGAAGGUGCGCUCAGACCGGUCGGAAAUCGGUCGUAGAGUAUAAAGGCAAAAGCGCGCUUGACUGCGAGACAGACACGUCGAGCAGGUACGAAAGUAGGUCUUAGUGAUCCGGUGGUUCUGUAUGGAAGGGCCAUCGCUCAACGGAUAAAAGGUACUCCGGGGAUAACAGGCUGAUACCGCCCAAGAGUUCAUAUCGACGGCGGUGUUUGGCACCUCGAUGUCGGCUCAUCACAUCCUGGGGCUGAAGCCGGUCCCAAGGGUAUGGCUGUUCGCCAUUUAAAGUGGUACGCGAGCUGGGUUUAGAACGUCGUGAGACAGUUCGGUCCCUAUCUGCCGUGGACGUUUGAGAUUUGAGAGGGGCUGCUCCUAGUACGAGAGGACCGGAGUGGACGAACCUCUGGUGUUCCGGUUGUCACGCCAGUGGCAUUGCCGGGUAGCUAUGUUCGGAAAAGAUAACCGCUGAAAGCAUCUAAGCGGGAAACUUGCCUCAAGAUGAGAUCUCACUGGAACCUUGAGUUCCCUAAAGGGCCGUCGAAGACUACGACGUUGAUAGGUUGGGUGUGUAAGCGCUGUGAGGCGUUGAGCUAACCAAUACUAAUUGCCCGUGAGGCUUGACCAU